AGAGUUUGAUCCUGGCUCAGGAUGAACGCUGGCGAGAUGCCUUACACAUGCAAGUCAUACGAGAAUUUUUAAUUCAAGUGGCGGACGGGUGAGUAACACGUAAGAAUUUGCCUUUAGGAGGGGGACAACAACUGGAAACGGUUGCUAAUACCCCAUAUGCUUUCGAGUGAAACGGAAUUUUCCGCCUAAAGAGAAGCUUGCGGCUGAUUAGCUUGUUGGUGAGGUAAUGGCAUACCAAGGCGACGAUCAGUAUCUGGUUUGAGAGGAUGAUCAGACUCACUGGAACUGAGACACGGUCCAGACUCCUACGGGAGGCAGCAGUGGGGAAUUUUCCGCAAUGGGCGAAAGCCUGACGGAGCAAUCUCGCGUGAGGGAUGACGGCCUAUGGGUUGUAAACCUCUUUUUUCAGGGAGGAAUAAAUGACGUGUACCUGAAGAAUAAGCAUCGGCUAACUCCGUGCCAGCAGCCGCGGUAAGACGGAGGAUGCAAGUGUUAUCCGGAAUCACUGGGCGUAAAGCGUCUGUAGGUGGUUUGAUAAGUCAACUGUUAAAUCUUGAAGCUCAACUUCAAAAUCGCAGUCGAAACUAUCAGACUAGAGUAUAGUAGGGGUAAAGGGAAUUUCCA
rnacentral:rRNA from 1 species